GACGAACGCUGGCGGCGUGCUUAACACAUGCAAGUCGAACGGAAAGGCCCUGCUUUUGUGGGGUGCUCGAGUGGCGAACGGGUGAGUGACACGUGAGUAACCUGCCCUUGACUUUGGGAUAACUUCAGGAAACUGGGGCUAAUACCGGAUAGGAGCUCCUGCUGCAUGGUGGGGGUUGGAAAGUUUCGGCGGUUGGGGAUGGACUCGCGGCUUAUCAGCUUGUUGGGGGGGUAGUGGCUUACCAAGGCUUUGACGGGUAGCCGGCCUGAGAGGGUGACCGGCCACAUUGGGACUGAGAUACGGCCCAGACUCCUACGGGAGGCAGCAGUGGGGAAUAUUGCACAAUGGGCGGAAGCCUGAUGCAGCAACGCCGCGUGCGGGAUGACGGCCUUCGGGUUGUAAACCGCUUUCGCCUGUGACGAAGCGUGAGUGACGGUAAUGGGUAAAGAAGCACCGGCUAACUACGUG
rnacentral:rRNA from 1 species